rnacentral:rRNA from 1 species
AUGCACGCUGGCGGCGUGCCUCAUACAUGCAAGUCGAGCGAACGGACGAGAAGCUUGCUUUUCUGAUGUUAGCGGCGGACGGGUGAGUAACACGUGGAUAACCUACCUAUAAGACUGGGAUAACUUCGGGAAACCGGAGCUAAUACCGGAUAAUAUUUUGAACCGCAUGGUUCAAAAGUGAAAGACGGUCUUGCUGUCACUUAUAGAUGGAUCCGCGCUGCAUUAGCUAGUUGGUAAGGUAACGGCUUACCAAGGCAACGAUGCAUAGCCGACCUGAGAGGGUGAUCGGCCACACUGGAACUGAGACACGGUCCAGACUCCUACGGGAGGCAGCAGUAGGGAAUCUUCCGCAAUGGGCGAAAGCCUGACGGAGCAACGCCGCGUGAGUGAUGAAGGUCUUCGGAUCGUAAAACUCUGUUAUUAGGGAAGAACAUAUGUGUAAGUAACUGUGCACAUCUUGACGGUACCUAAGCAGAAAACCACGGCUAACUACGU